CCUACGGGUGGCAGCAGUGAGGAAUAUUGGUCAAUGGACGAGAGUCUGAACCAGCCAAGUAGCGUGAAGGAUGACUGCCCUAUGGUUUGUAAACUUCUUUUAUAUGGGAAUAAAAUGUUCCACGUGUGGGAUUUUGUAUGUACCAUAUGAAUAAGGAUCGGCUAACUCCGUGCCAGCAGCCGCGGUAAUACGGAGGAUCCGAGCGUUUUCCGGAUUUAUUGGGUUUAAAGGGAGCGUAGGUGGAUUGUUAAGUCAGUUGUGAAAGUUUGCGGCUCAACCGUAAAAUUGCAGUUGAAACUGGCAGUCUUGAGUACAGUAGAGGUGGGCGGAAUUCGUGGUGUAGCGGUGAAAUGCGUAGAUAUCACGAAGAACUCCGAGUGCGAAGGCAGUUCACUGGACUGCAACUGACACUGAGGCUCGAAAGUGUGGGUAUCAAACAGGAUUAGAUACCCUAGUAGUC
rnacentral:rRNA from 1 species